AAAAAAAAAAAAAAAAAAAAGAGUCUGGAGCUCAGGAAAGAGGUCUGUACCUGGCAGUUUUGUGAAUCACGAGCAUACAAGAAGGAGAGGGUUCAAUACACGUAUGUUUAUUGAAGUGUCUAAUAUCCGUUAAAUGCAACUCUUUCCCCAGACUUUGAGAGGAAAGGGAAGGGUGUGGCUGAGAAUGCCCCGGAAGUACCCCUAUUUCCUGUAUCCCACCGUAUUACUUCCUGUCACUGUUUUGUUCGUUUGUUCGUUUGUUUUUUCCUAAGAGGGCGUUUGUUCUGGAAAGUUCUAUUUUCCUAGCUUUCUGUUUAAGUACUGUCUUCCUCAGGAAAGGACUCCCGAUCGAGUCCCUUGAUCACAUUUGAGAGUGGUGCAGGAGGUAGAGGAGGACAGACAGGCAUGUUCACGCCUCGGUUAGGUGCUUGGUUUUGCUCCCAGUGUGCUGGGCGGUCCUUGGAAAAUGCAGCCACCCAAGGACAGUGCGUGCUGGGGAACUGAGACGUGCUUGGAAUUGGGGGAGCAUAUUGGCUCUGCCAGGGUAACCCUCGUCCUCGCUCCGUGAUCCAGUUCGAAUCCUCGGGCCGUGAUCCAGCAGGAGGACUUCCCGCAACCCCCGACCAGGGCUGAGUGGUUCACCUGUGAUCUCCCAGGAGUUCAGAUGUGCCCCAUGAGGACAGGGGUGUUGGUGUGCGUGACGUCACUCCGGGGCUCAGUGUCUGGCGGACGCCGCGGGACUUGUCGAAUGGACAACCACACACGGGAAGUCAAGAAGGAGCAAGGUUCCAAAGGAGAACGAUCCACAAUGUGAAAUGCGACAGAGCGGUGGACGAAGACUCGCCCUGAAAAGAACCUUCGCCUUCGGAAACCUCUCCCUGACGAUAAGUUGCUAUAAAGAAAAUACUCGAGUAUAAGGCCAAUGUUCUGUGCGAUUCUAGGAUUAAACCGUCUUCCGGGUGCCUCAGUCGGUUGAGCGUCUGCCUCCGGCUCAGGUCAUGGUCUCCCGGUUCGGGUGUUCGGGCCCCGCAUGGGGCUCUCCUGACAGCUCAGGGCCUGGAGCCUGCUUCGGAUUCGGUGUCUCCCUCUCUCUCUGCCCCUCCCCUGCUCAUGCUCUGUCUGCCUGUCUGUCUCUCUCAAAAAUAAGCGAACAUUUAAAAAAAUUUGUUUUCAUUUUAAAUUAAACCAUCUUCAUUGUCCUCGGGCCACAUUAUUUACUUGUGAACGGCUAUCUCUUCCAGCUUCUGUCUCUUGAUUUGAGUUCAUACGGGCCCCAUUAAAAUCAAAGCUCUAAAUAUUUUUUCUUAUUUAUUUGAAUUUAUCUACUUUCGUCGUCUUCUCUUUACUUAUGGUCUCAAGGUUUGACCUGGAGAAUGCUCAGUUGUUCUCCACAAGGGUUUUAGUAGUGUGUUUGGAAAAUAGAUGGGAAUGAGCUACUUAAAGAAUUAUCUUAGAGGGGCGCCUGGGUGGCUCAGUCGGUUAAGCGUCCGACUUCGGCUCAGGUCACGAUCUCGCGGUCCGUGAGUUCGAGCCCCGCGUCAGGCUCUGGGCUGAUGGCUCGGAGCCUGGAGCCUGUUUCCGAUUCUGUGUCUCCCUCUCUCUCCGCCCCUCCCCCGUUCAUGCUGUGUCUCUCUCUGUCUCAAAAAUAAAUAAACGUUAAAAAAAAAAAAUUAAAAAAAAAAAAAAAAAAAGAAUUAUCUUAGAGUCCUAUGCCAGGGCUCAAAUGCAGAAGUGCAAACAUCUCCACUCGAUGAUGUGACUUCACAUCCCAAAUCCAAUGCAGUAGUUCACUCUUGGAAUAUGGACUUCUUGUGUCUGUUUCUUCUUGGGUAGAACUCAUAGUUCACAUGGAGAUGAAAAUGAGGGUCAAAUGACCUUUCAUAAAUAGUAAUGUGGUGAAACCCCUUCAUCUAGGGUUCUAGUCUCCGGCAUUCAUUUUUUAGAUCUAAUUUAUACCUAGGUAUCUGUCAUAGAGAUUUGACAUUGUAGGGAAUGUGCAAGACGAGAAUGCCUCCCUCUUUUCGGAGUGACAGUCAGUCAUCAGAAAGCCAAAGGACAAGGUGAGAAGCGAUUGUCCGAGGCAUGCAGGGAAGGACUUUCAAUUCUGGGAUUCACUUUUGGUGGUAAAGUAUAGUUGUUCUGACAGGGAAAGCAUGCUUUUGGUCAUGUCAAAUAUCGAUGUAUUUGACUUCUUUCCAACUCAUCCAUAGAAUAGGAGUACAUUCAAAGAUAAACGUUUGAACCAUAGAGAAAAGAAGAGGUCCCUGAUGGGGAAACACUAAAAAUGUGUGCUCUGGAUGGAAAGGACAUGUUUUAUUCAGUAAAAGCAAAAGCGAAUAUGUAAAA